ensembl:lncRNA
CCCAAACCUUGCUGUAACUUUAGUAAAAACCCUGCUGAUUUGAAAUUCGGGGCUCUCAAUCCUGAUCCGCUGCGCCGGUGACAGUUGAACCAGGAUGUUGUGUGGCCCAUCUAAAAGGAUCCUACAAGUAGGGUGAGUCAUCCAACCUCCUGAACAAAGAGCUUAUUGCUCACAGAGGAUGUGAAUCAACCAGCGUACAUUGUGCUCAAAGAAGGGUUACUAAAGAGGGGAAUGCCCUCAUGCUUCCAAGAAAAAACCAUGUAGUCAACCAAAGACAGUGGUGCAUCCUAGGUGACACAACUGCUACAGAAAAACCUAAAAGAGCUGUGAGCUAACUUGACUUGCUUAGCAC